UACGUAGGGGGCAAGCGUUGUCCGGAAUCAUUGGGCGUAAAGAGCGUGUAGGCGGCUCGGUAAGUCCGCUGUGAAAGUCCAGGGCUCAACCCUGGAAUGCCGGUGGAAACUGUCGAGCUAGAGUCCGGAAGAGGAGAGUGGAAUUCCUGGUGUAGCGGUGAAAUGCGCAGAUAUCAGGAAGAACACCCGUGGCUAAGGCGGCUCUCUAGUACGGUACUGACGCUGAGACGCGAAAGCGUGGGGAGCGAACAGG
rnacentral:rRNA from 1 species